GGAAUGGCAGACGCGCUAGCUUCAGGUGCUAGUGUUCGCAAGGACGUGGGGGUUCAAGUCCCCCCAUCCGCACCA
rnacentral:tRNA from 1 species